CAUGGCUAGCAAGUUGUUCCAGCACCACUUAUAAACGGUUGAUCUUUCUGGCCACUUGCUCACAUGCUGUCUUCAGUGAUAUUUGGGCCAAUUCCUGGACUCAAGAUUUUGUUCCUUUUUUUUUUUUUCUGUGGUUCUUUGGCGCUAAGACCACACUGUUUUAAUUACUGUGGCUUUUAAUAUCCCAGAUAACCUCAUGACUCACCUUCUGCAGGUCUUUACUCAAAUACAGCCUUUUCUGUGAGAUCUUCCUCAAGCACCCUAUUUACAAUGCUGGCUUCCCUCUACCCCAACCCCUGCCCGCAACCACCUCCAUAUAGUCUCUGCUUUGCUUUAUUCUUCUCCUUAUCACAUGUUACCAUCUGUUAAUCGACAUAUUUUACUUAUUCAUUUGCGUACUGUCUGCAUAUCUAGACUAAGUUUCAUGAGAUGAUAAGUCCAUGAAAACAGGGAUUUUCAUUUCUUUGACUCACUUUUGUAUCCCCGGUGCCUGGAACACUGCCAAGCACAGAACAGAUUCCCAAAAAUAUUUAUUGAAUGAAUGACAAACCGGUAGAGAAAAACAUCCUACAUACAACCACUCCCCACCCCGAUUUUUUUUUCGAGAAUUCGUUGGCUCUUUUUACACAAUCUUUUGUCAUGAAAUAUAGUGCUAAAUUGACCAAGUCAAAAAGAAGAUCCAUGGGAUUUUGAAUGGGCCCAUGUUGAAUACACAGGUUAAUUUAGGAAGAAUUGACAACUUUACAGCUUUGAUUAUUUCCGAGGAAGAUCCAGUUAUUUCCCUAUUUUUUCAAGCCUUCUUUUAUUCCCUCAGUGUAGCAAAAUGAUUUUCUUUGUAAAGGCCCUAUGAAUUUCAUAUGAAGAUUGUUCCCAAUCAUGUUGUGAUGUUUUGUUAUUCAUUCACUUAUUCAAUAAAUGCUUCUUGUUGUCAAUCAUGUGCCAGACACUGUUCUAGGAGCUGGGAAUGCAGCAGUGAACAAAAAAUUGUUCUCUGCCCUCAUGGAUGUCAUGUUCUAAUAAGAAUGGAAUUCUUUUUUCCCUUAUAUUUUUUAACUAGCAAUAUUUGGUAUAAAAGAGAGCUAUUGAGUUUGGGGUACUUCUUUUAACAUAUCUUCUUACUAAAUUCUCUCAUCAUUUCUUUUUUUAAAGACUUUUAUUUUUCCCAUUAUAGUUGGUUUACAGUGUUCUGUCAAUUUUUUACUGUAUAGCAAAGUGACCCAAUCUCUCUCUCUCUCUCUCUCUCUCUCUCUCACACACACACACACACACAUAUUUUUCUCACGUUAUCCUCCAUCUUUUUCCAUCACAAAUGACUAGAUAUAGUUCUAUUUUCCCCUUUUAUCUGUUGGCAAAAUGAAGUUUUCCAAUACAGUCCCUGUAUUUAUCCACAAUUGGAUUUCUGGAAAUUAAUUCCAUAUUUUUAGUCAAGAAGAAAAGUCACAAUUUUUUAAAAAUAUUUAGGACUGUAUAAUAUACCAGAAAUGAAUUUAGGUAUCAAAUUAUCUGAUAUGAUCCAAAUAUCUGAUAUGAUACAAUUGACAAUAGUUGUAUGCAACUGAUGCAAGUCAUUUUGAGAAAAUAUUAAUUUUUUACUCUUUGCUGGCAGACUGUUUAGGAACCUAACUCCCUGAGUCAGCUACUGUUGAGUCUAUUUUUUUAAUAAAACAUAAAACCAUGGUUCUCCAUUGAAAGUUAGAGAACAUAAAAUCUACUGAUUUCUUUUAUAUUACUUUCUGUUUGCCAAUUACUUGUACAAACACUGAAGUAGCUAAAGAUUUAAUUUGCAUAUCCAACCACAAUAAAACAAGGAUGCCUGAGUAAAGUCUUACAUCACAGCUGUAAACUAAGAUUUUCUGAGGAGUUACAUUUGUCCUAAUAAUAUAAGACAGGGAUUAAGAGCAAUUAUACAACACCCAUUUCUGCAACUAAAGAAAUGAGGUUUGGCAGCCUGAAGAGUCUUGAGCAUGCUAACGCUGUCAGUAGCAGAGCGUGGACAAAAACUUUAGUUUUCUGCUUCACAUCAAAUACUCUUUCCACCGUGCUCUCCCUUUCAUUCGGCAUUACCUGCGUCACUAGAAACACUCAAAUAUGUUUCUUCACUUACCUAGAAAUUGUUGUGUUACCUUUGCCUAUUAUUUUAGGAGGAAAUCAUUUCUUAUAAAAUUCACAUAUGGCUUUUGAUUUUGUGGCAUCCUUUUCCUGGAGGUUCAAAGAAUGAGCGUAUGCUUGAAGAGUAAAUUCUUACAACAGGUCUGUGGGGCGGGGGUGUGGGGAGCAGAAAUGAUGAGUCUCCUGUGAUAUAAAUCAACAUUCUAAUCGUUAAAAAAUAGAUGCACUCAUUCAUAAGUGUCACAAAACACUCCAAACUGAAUAGGAAGGAAUAUCUGAAUGGAACUGAUAACAGCCAAGCCUGAAGAGGAAGCACAACAGCCCAUUACGAGCUAUUGAAAAUUUCCAUAGAGAGAAAAAAAAAAAUGACAUACAGCAGGAAAUUCCUGACCAGUAGUGUAAUCUCUUACAUAAAAUGUGUUGGCAGAUAAAUGGAUUUUUAUGAUUUUGCUUACAC
rnacentral:lncRNA from 1 species